rnacentral:rRNA from 1 species
UACGUAGGGUGCAAGCGUUGUCCGGAAUUAUUGGGCGUAAAGAGCUCGUAGGCGGUUUGUCGCGUCUGCUGUGAAAACUCAGGGCUUAACCCUGAGCCUGCAGUGGGUACGGGCAGACUAGAGUGUGGUAGGGGAGAUCGGAAUUCCUGGUGUAGCGGUGGAAUGCGCAGAUAUCAGGAGGAACACCGGUGGCGAAGGCGGAUCUCUGGGCCAUAACCGGCGCUGAGGAGCGAAAGCAUGGGGAGCGAACAGG